AUUCUCUGUUUCCUAAAGUAUUCAUAUACUCUUUUCCUAAAGUAUUCAUGUACUCUGUUUCAUAAAGUUUUCAUGUACUCUGUUUCGUAAAGUAUUCAUGUACUCUGUUUCCUAAAGUAUUCAUGUACUCUUUUCCUAAAGUAUUUUAUGUACUCUGUUUCCUAAAGUAUUCAUGUUUUCUGUUUCCUAGAGUAUUCAUGUACUCUGUUUCCUAAAGUAUUCAUGUACUCUUUUCCUAAAGUAUUCAUGUACUCUGUUUCCUAAAGUAUUCAUGUUUUCUGUUUCCUAAAGUAUUCAUGUACUCUGUUUCCUAAAGUAUUCAUGUUUUCUGUUUCCUAAAUUAUUCAUGUACUCUGUUUCCUAUAAAAGUAUUCAUAUUCUCUGUUUCCUAAAGUAUUCAUGUACUCUGUUUCGUAAAGUAUUCAUGUACUCUGUUUCCUAAAGUAUUCAUGUACUCUUUUCCUAAAGUAUUUUAUGUACUCUGUUUCCUAAAGUAUUCAUGUUUUCUGUUUCCUAGAGUAUUCAUGUACUCUGUUUCCUAAAGUAUUCAUGUACUCUUUUCCUAAAGUAUUCAUGUACUCUGUUUCCUAUAAAGUAUUCAUAUUCUCUGUUUCCUAAAGUAUUCAUAUACUCUUUUCCUAAAGUAUUCAUGUACUCUGUUUCAUAAAGUUUUCAUGUACUCUGUUUCGUAAAGUAUUCAUGUACUCUGUUUCCUAAAGUAUUCAUGUACUCUUUUCCUAAAGUAUUUUAUGUACUCUGUUUCCUAAAGUAUUCAUGUUUUCUGUUUCCUAGAGUAUUCAUGUACUCUGUUUCCUAAACUAUUCAUGUACUCUUUUCCUAAAGUAUUCAUGUACUCUGUUUCCUAAAGUAUUCAUGUUUUCUGUUUCCUAAAGUAUUCAUGUACUCUGUUUCCUAAAGUAUUCAUGUUUUCUGUUUCCUAAAUUAUUCAUGUACUCUGUUUCCUAUAAAAGUAUUCAUAUUCUCUGUUUCCUAAAGUAUUCAUGUACUCUGCUUCCUAAAGUAUUCAUGUUCUCUGUUUCAUAAAGUAUUCAUGUUCUCUGUUUCCUAAAGUAUUCAUGUUCUCUGUUUCCUGAGGUAUUUUAAUCAUCUGUUUCCUAUUCAUGUUUUGUGUUAAUCGUGUUUUCAAAUACGCUCAACUUUGUCUUUAAAGUAUUCAUGUUCUUUGUUUCCAAAGGUAUUCAUUUGUUGUACUAAUGUUUCGUCUUCUGUGUAUCUAUGAUAUUUGAUGAUUCAAUAUCAUCGACUUUCGAAAGUUUCCAUGUUUUUGUAGCCAAAGUUGCCAAUUUUUAUAAAGCAAUUUCAUUGUGCUUUCAAAGAUAAUAUCGUAUCUCACGGAUUCUUGCGUGCAUGAGCGUUUAAAAAUACACACUUUUCACAGCAUAUAUUCCUGUACAGGUGUCUAAUAUUUCUUAUCGGAAAGAAGUUUUCUUCUUACUAAUUCGGUCAUUCAAAUACUUUUUUGGCUUUUUAAAUGAUUUGCCAAACUAAAUGGGGCAAAUGACGUUGCGAGGAAGUUCGUGUUGGAACUCGUUGAAAGUCUUUGUCUUAAACACUUUUAUUUAUGCAUAGUUACUUGGAAGGAAUAUUUUAGGCAUUUAAUGAUUCCAAUUGUUACAUCGACCAGCAUUUUUUGUUUGUAAAUAAAACCGCCGAAACGAAGAAGUCGCUUCCUCUUUCGAUGUUUAAUUAUUGUAUUUCCUUAUCAUCCUAACAUAUCGUUGAUGGCAGUCUUUCGAUGCUCGUACCUGACGCGUUUUAAAUUACCUGCGUUAUCUAAUCCACAAGACUGUGUUGUUGUCUGAAUUGUUUAACAAGUAAACAAAUUUUAUCGUUUAUAACGUGAAGAAAUUGUCUAUGCUUGGUCGCUGUAAGGUUUAAUGUUGUGUCGAAAUAUGGCUUAAAGAAACGUCUGGGAAAGACAUAAACGGCAAUUUCGUGAAAUGAAAAUAUUCACACGGAGGAUUUUUAGCGAGUUUUCUCUUGUCGUUGUGGUUGCGAUGUUUAUUGUAGGAAUUUCACAAGCGAAACACUGUAGUAUUUUUGAUCAACUCGAGUCAAAGAAGUGCACAAAAUAUUGUUGUGGGGAUUGGAGCAUUCUUUUUGCCAUGAAACGUGUGAAGGAUUCUCCUGUAGAACGAACAGUGAAUGUGGCAGUGGAUGUUGUAAUGAGGGAAAAUGCCGUAAAAAUUGUGCUCCAGUGCGCUUGAUUAUCGGUGUGACAAUUACUUUCGUCGUAACAUUGACUUUGUUGGUUGUUUUAAUGCUCGUUCGCUGUUAUCUCCGUAAGAAAAAUCCUCCACAAACAAAUAACGUGGCUCGUAGUCAUUUUGUAGACAUGGGCGAACCUUAUUGGCGUGUUCGUACGCUUAACUCAACUACGCCUCGACCUUCCAUGCAAAUCUCGUCUUCUCCUCGACCGUCCAUACAAAUCUCAUCUUCUCCUCGACCGUCCAUGCAAACCUCAAAUUCUCCUCGACCGUCAAUACAAACCUCAACCAGCACGACUGAAACUGACUGCGACGUGGAAAAGCCUUCUUCCGAAUCUUGAUUUUUUAUGCUCUUAAGAAGAUCGUGGUAAUCUUCAAGUGUGCUUUCAACAAAAAAACGCGAACAGUUUCGGCUGGGCAACAUUUGGCUUUCGAAAUAAGAUUUCUGCAGGAUAUCAAUGGCAAUCGAACUGUAACAAUCUAGGAAAUUAUCAAACUGUUAUUUCAAGAGAGUUUGUUCUGUUCUCACGGAAUGUUGUUCCUGUCGCCCACACGGGCCUACUAGUAUUUCGUCAUCUUGAAAAAUAUAUCGUAAUCAAAAAUAAAAUAAUAUAUACAUAAGGUAAUCUUUCUAGUAAUUUAUUGUCCUAUCUUUUAUAUAAUGAGUGGUAAAAAUUUUAUCUGAUUCCUGGCGGACGAGAGACGUAAACGAUUCUGUUUUAUUUAAUCUUGAAGAAUAACAGCAACUUUACGAAGUUAGUUGCAUAAUUAGCAUAUCGGACUCCAGUUAAAAUAAGUAUGAUUUCGAUUAAACUUUUCAUCGACCUGAUAGCGGUUAUGCCUGAUGUGAAAGUUGACAGAAAUAAAAUUUUGCAAUGCAA